rnacentral:misc_RNA from 1 species
CAGCCACAUAUCAAAAUUUACCAACAGCCUGGAGGCACCGCCGGAGGGUGUCUGACCAGCUGACUCGGCGGUGGAACAGCGAGUAUCAGCGCGCGCUCCGCUGCUGGCACCGGUCACCGCGGGGGCAGCCGAACCGGACACCGGAGGUGGGAGACGUCGUGCUCGUCCACAACGAGGGGCCGCGCGGACGGUGGCCUCUCGCACGCGUGACCGAGCUCCUGGUCGGACCGGACGGCCAGACCCGCGCCGCGAUCAUUCAACUGCGCGGUCGCCGUACGCGCCGACCUCUCAGCCGGCUGUUUCGGCUGGAAGCGGCCCGUGAGGCGCCGUGAACCGGACCCGGAUCGGUGGUUAGUCUGGUGACACGGUUGCGACUGUCCCGGUGCGCGCGCGAUGCGUUGUUGUGAUUUGUUAAGUUGCUGUACCUGUUUUCUGUUCUUUCGAAAUCUCGCCCCGAUUUCGAGUGGGGAGUAUGUGCGAGUUUCCCCCUAAAUACUUUCAUCGCCGAAAAUUACCCCUAAGUGAUUGCUGCCAUUUUUAUUUGGUAGCCUGAGUUGAGGCCAGUGGCGCCACACGCAACAAUACAGAGUCACCUGUGA